GACGUAGGGCGCAAGCGUUGUCCGGAUUUAUUGGGCGUAAAGAGCUCGUAGGCGGCUCGUUGCGUCAACCGUGAAAUCCCUCGGCUUAACCGGGGAACUGCGUCUGAUACUGGAUGGCUUGAGUUUGGGAGAGGGAUGCGGAAUUCCAGGUGUAGCGGUGAAAUGCGUAGAUAUCUGGAGGAACACCGGUGGCGAAGGCGGCUCACUGGCCCGAUACUGACGCUGAGGCACGAAAGCGUGGGGAGCAAACAGG
rnacentral:rRNA from 1 species